AGGGAAACCGAGUCUUAAUUGGGCGUUAAGUUGCAGGGUAUAGACCCGAAACCCGGUGAUCUAGCCAUGGGCAGGUUGAAGGUUGGGUAACACUAACUGGAGGACCGAACCGACUAAUGUUGAAAAAUUAGCGGAUGACCUGUGGCUGGGGGUGAAAGGCCAAUCAAACCGGGAGAUAGCUGGUUCUCCCCGAAAGCUAUUUAGGUAGCGCCUCGUGAAUUCAUCUCCGGGGGUAGAGCACUGUUUCGGCUAGGGGGCCAUCCCGGCUUACCAACCCGAUGCAAACUGCGAAUACCGGAGAAUGUUAUCACGGGAGACACACGGCGGGUGCUAACGUCCGUCGUGAAGAGGGAAACAACCCAGACCGCCAGCUAAGGUCCCAAAGUCAUGGUUAAGUGGGAAACGAUGUGGGAAGGCCCAGACAGCCAGGAUGUUGGCUUAGAAGCAGCCAUCAUUUAAAGAAAGCGUAAUAGCUCACUGGUCGAGUCGGCCUGCGCGGAAGAUGUAACGGGGCUAAACCAUGCACCGAAGCUGCGGCAGCGACACUGUGUGUUGUUGGGUAGGGGAGCGUUCUGUAAGCCUGCGAAGGUGUCCCGUGAGGGAUGCUGGAGGUAUCAGAAGU
rnacentral:rRNA from 1 species